UACUUGGAUGAUCCUGCUAGUAGUCAUAUGCUUAUCUCACAUAUUACACCAUGCAUAUGUAAGUAUGAACAAAUUAAGACUAUAAAACUGCGAAUGGAUUAUUAAAUCAGUUAUAGUUUGUCUGAUGGUAUCUAUUACUCAGAUAAUCGUAGUAAUUCUAGAGCUAAUACGUGCAAAAAAACCCGACUUCUGAAAGGGAUGCAUUUAUCAGAUAAAAGGUCGAUGUGGGCUCUGUUCAUUGCUGCGAUUAUUCAUGAUAACUCGAUGGACUGCACGGCCAUCGUGUCGGUGAUGAAUUAUUCAAAUUUCUACCCUAUCAAAUUUCAAUGGUAGGAUACUGGCCUACCAUGGUGGUGAUGGGUGAUGGAGAAUUAGGGUUUGAUUUUAGAGAAGGAGCCUGAGAAUCGACUACAACAUCUAAGGAAGGUAGCAGGUGCGCAAAUUACCCAUUCCUGAUGCGUAGAGGUAGUGACAAUAAAUAACAAUAUCAGGCUCAAUGAGUAUGGUAAUUCAAAUGAGUACAAUAUAAAUCCCUUUAUGAGGAUCCAUUCGAGGGAAAUUCUGGUGCCAGCAGCCACUGUAAUUCCAACUCCAAUAGAGUAUAUUUAAGUUGCUGCAAUUAAAAAUCUCAUAGUUGGACUUUGGAAUGGGCUGGCCAGUCCGCCUUUGGUGAGCAUCGAUUGUCUCAUCCCUUCUGUCGGUAAUGCACUCCUGGCCUUAACUGGUCUGGUCAUGCCUUCGACACUGUUACUUUGAAUAAAUUAGAGUUCUCAAAGCAAGCCUACGCUCUAUAUACAUUAGUAUGGGAUAACAUUAUAGGAUUUCGAUCCUAUUACGUUAGCCUUAGGGAUCGUAGUAAUGAUUAACAGGGACAAUCAGGGGCAUUCGUAUUUCAUAGUCAGAGGUGAAAUUCUUGGAUUUAUGAAAGACGAAAAACUGCAAACGCAUUUGCCAAGGAUGUUUUCAUUAAUCAAGAAUGAAAAUUAGGACCAAAAAGCUCUUUUAUAAUCAAGUUAAAAAUGCUUAACGAGGGCUACGGUGGUCAAAUCGACGGUCCGUCGUAGGUCUGACGGUCCGUUGGAUCAUCC
rnacentral:ncRNA from 1 species